rnacentral:rRNA from 1 species
UACGGAGGGUGCAAGCGUUGCUCGGAAUUAUUGGGCGUAAAGGGUAGGUAGGUGGUCUCAUUUUGUCUGAGGUGAAAGCCUUGAGCUUAACUCAAGAAGUGCCUUAGAAACGGUGAGACUGGAGUCUUGGAGAGGGUCGUGGAAUUCCCGGGUGUAGCGGUGAAAUGCGUAGAUAUCGGGAGGAACACCAGUAGCGAAGGCGACACUCUGGGCCGGUACUGACGCUGAGGAGCGAAAGCGUGGGGAGCAAACAGG